UAGAGUUUUAGAAGGAAACAGUAGAGAGGUGAGCUGUGCUGUUUGCAAGAUGUUUUGUGCUAUUGACUCCGCGGAUGAGGAAGAGGAGCAGGUGGAAGAGGAUUGUCCUGAAUUGGUCCCCAUUGAGGCGAAGCAGAGAGAGGUGGAAGAGGAGGAGAAGAAGUCUGGCCCCAGCGCUAAGAUCCCAGUCACAAUUAUCGCCGGGUAUUUAGGUGCUGGGAAGACAACACUUCUUAGCUAUAUUUUGACAGAGCAACAUUGUAAAAGAAUAGCAGUGAUUUUAAAUGAAUUUGGGGAAGAAGUGCAGUGGAGAAAUCCCUAGCUGUCAGCCAAGGUGGAGAACUCUACGAAGAGUGGCUGGAACUUAGAAACAGUUGCCUCUGCUGUUUAUAAAGGACAAUGGCCUUAGAACUAUUGAGAAUUUGAUGAAGAAGAAAGGGAGAUUUGAUUACAUAUUGUUAGAGACCACCGGAUUAGCAGAUCCUGGUGCUACAGCUUCUAUGUUUUGGGUUGAUGCUGAAUUAGGGGUUGAUAUUUAUCUUGAUGGUAUCAUAACUGUUGUGGAUUCAAAAUACAGAUUAGAACAUUUAGCAGAAGAAAAACCUG